UUGAAUACUAAAUUUUAGUGUAGGAUUGUAAAUCUUAUUUUGGAGUUUAUCCUCUUUUA
rnacentral:tRNA from 1 species